ACAGCAGUCGCCACGGUAAUACGUAGGGUGCAAGCGUUAAUCGGAAUUACUGGGCGUAAAGCGUGCGCAGGCGGUCCGCUAAGACAGAUGUGAAAUCCCCGGGCUUAACCUGGGAACUGCAUUUGUGACUGGCGGGCUAGAGUAUGGCAGAGGGGGGUAGAAUUCCACGUGUAGCAGUGAAAUGCGUAGAGAUGUGGAGGAAUACCGAUGGCGAAGGCAGCCCCCUGGGCCAAUACUGACGCUCAUGCACGAAAGCGUGGGGAGCAAACAGGAUUAGAUAUCCCAGUAGUCCCUGUCUCUUAUAC
rnacentral:rRNA from 1 species